ACGGUCGUCUGGGUGUCGACUGCAAUAUUGUUUACAGAUUUAUAUGUCUUUGAAGAUUGGUGACACUGAAUUUGGAGUCAUAGAUAUUUUUGCCACAUUUACUCGAACCAAACUGGAUAAGAAUUCGUUUUGCAACACUUACUCCAUAACCACACCAUUUGAGUAUGAUAAACAAUGAUUAUCGUCAAAGGGAAGUUUUGUCGAUGACAAUAAAGUUCAAUGAGCAGUGGUUUGAUGCAAGCCUCAAAUGAUUUAUGAACACUAUUUUCUCCUCCAGAAGAUGCAGAACGAUGUCUUAUAUAUAUCGCUGUUGCAGUUUAAAAUAAGAAAUUGUACCGAAGAAGCAUUCUCAGGGAGCCUAUAAUCUGAAAGAUUGGACGAAACUCCUUUCCCCAAUCUAGUAUACAAUGGGCUUCAUCCACACACACAAUGACUUCUUCAUCUCUGUGGAUGAUAGAUGAAAGACAACCAAAUCCUCCUUUUGAAACAAUUACUUCUAGGUGACCAAAAUGUACUUUACACUUGAAAUGUGUUCUGUGCUAGCAAAGUCAUCUGAAAGCUUAAUAGCUAGAAAGCCUAACUUUUCAAUAUCCUGAUUGAUGAAACCAUUUAAUAGGAUUUAACUCGUCGAAGUUAAAUCGGUUUAUCUAAGCUAAAUAUCAAUAUUAAUCAUUAAUCUGCAUCACCGGGGUAAUUUCCCACUGCCAGCUAUUCUCUUUUCGGGUAUUAGUGAGGUCAUAAAUUACGUCAUGACCACCGUGCAAGAUUCCCCAGCAGUUCGCACAUGGAAAUUCAGUAGACCACUUGCUGUCCGCUCAAUAUCUUGAGAACCAUUCACUUGAUGAUAAUGAUAUUUCAUAUGUUGGUUGGUUAUGAGUAGAAGAGGACCCCUAUUGUUUUUCAGGUCAAAAGGUCAAGGGUUAAUGUACUCUGGACAUAGGAAUAUAAUGUCCGCUCAAUAUCUUGAGAACCCUUUGCUUGACAGACAUCAAGCUUGGUACAUAUUUAGGAGAAGAUGACCCCUAUUGAUUUUGAGGUCACAUGGUCAAACUGGACAUAGGAAUAUAAUGUCCGCUCAAUAUCUUGAGAACCCUUUGCUUGAUAGACAUCAAACUUGGUACACUGGUAUAUCUUCAGGAGAAAAUGACUCCUAUUGAUUUUGAGGUCACAUGGUCAAGGGUCAAACUAGACAUGGGAAUAUACUGUCUGCUCAGUAUCUUGAGAACCCUUCGCCUGACAGAAACCAAACUUGGUACAAUGAUACGUCUUCAGGAGAAGAUGACCCCUAUUGAUUUUGAGGUCACAUGGUCAAGGAUCACACUGGACAUAGGAAUAUAAUGUCCGUUCAAUAUCUUGAUAAUCCUUUGCUUGACAGACUUCAAACUUGGUACACUGGUACAUCUUCAGGAGAAGAUGACCCCUAUUGAUUUUGAGGUCACAUGGUCACAGGUCAAGGGUUAAACUAGAUAUGGGAAUAUACUGUCUGCUCAGUAUCUUGAGAACCCUUUACUUGAUAGAAAUCAAACUUGGUACACUGAUACGUCUUCAGGAGAAGAUGACCCCUAUUGAUUUUGAGGUCACAUGGUCAAGGGUCACACUGGACAUAGGAAUAUACUGUCCGUUUAAUAUCUUGAGAACCCUUUGCUUGACAGACAUCAAACUUGGUACACUGGUACAUCUUUAGGAGAAAAUGACCCCUAUUGAUUUUGAGGUGGCAUGCUUAAAGGUCAAGGGUAAAACUGGACAUUGGAAUAUACUGUCUGCUCAAUAUUUUGAGAACCUUUUUCUUGACAGACAUCAAACUUGGUACACUGGUAUGUCUUCAGGAGAAGAUGAUCCCUAUUGAUUUUGAGGUCACAUGUUUAAAGGUCAAGGGUCAACCUGGACAUUACAAUAUACUGUCCGCUCAAUAUCUUGAGAACUCUUUGCUUGACAGACAUCAAACUUAGUACACUGGUGUAUAUUCAGGAGAAGAUGACUCCUAUUGAUUUGUGGUCACAUGGUCAAAGGUCAAGGGUAAAACUGGACAUAGCAAUAUACUGUCCACUUAAUAUCUUGAUAACACUUUUGCUUGACAGACAUCAAACUUAGUACACUGUUACAUCUUCAGGAGAAGAUGACCCAUAUUGAUUUUGAGGUCAAAAGUCAAUAGUUGAACUGGACAUAGUAAUAUAUUGUCUCCUAUAUUUUAAGAAUUAUUUGCUUGAUUGACACCAAACUUGGUACACUGGUAGAGCAUAAGGAGUAGAUGACCCCUAUCGGUUUUAGGUCACAUGGUCAAUUCACUCUUGACAGAGGAAGAUAUUGUCUUCUCAAUAUUUUGCAUUGAUGAUACUACUAUCAAUUAAAUGAUGGCUGUGUAUAACAUGGGGGGCAUAUGUGUUUUACAAACAUCUCUUGUUAUUUUAGUGUUCACUGAUUGAUGUCAUGAUCACAUGUUGUUAAGGAAUGCCCAUUUCUGGCCCCCUUUUUGUAUAUAUAUUGAAUUGUUAUUUCAGUGUUUACUGAUUGAUGACGUGAUCACAUUUGUUAAGGGAUGCCCAUUUAAGCAAAAUUGUUGCUGACUCCUUUUUUGUAUAUACAUUGUAUAUCUAUAUAUUGUAUAUUAAAUUGUUAUUUUAGUGUUCACUGAUGACGUGAUCACAUUUUGUUAAGGGAUGCCCAUUUCUGGCCCCCUUUUUGUAUACAUAUUGGAUUGUUAUUUCAUUGUUCACUGAUUGAUGACGUGAUCACAUUUUGUUAAGGGAUCCCCAUUUCUGGCCCCCUUUUAGUAUAUAUAUUGAAUUGUUAAUUCAGUGUUCACUGAUUGACGACGUGAUCACAUUUGUUAAGGGAUGCCCAUUUAAGCAAAAUUGUUGCUGACUCCUUUUUUGUAUAUACAUUGUAUAUCUAUAUAUUGUAUAUUAAAUUGUUAUUUUAGUGUUCACUGAUGACGUGAUCACAUUUUGCUAAGGGAUGCCCAUUUCUGGCCCCCUUUUUGUAUACAUAUUGGAUUGUUAUUUCAUUGUUCACUGAUUGAUGACGUGAUCACAUUUUGUUAAGAGAUGCCCAUUUCUGGCCCCCUUUUUGUAUAUAUAUUGAAAUGUUAUUUCAGUGUUCACUGAUUGAUGACGUGAUCACAUUUUGUUAGGGAUGCCCAUUUAAGCAACAUUGUUGCUGGCUCCCUUUUUAUGCCCCCGAGAUCGAAGAUCGGGCGGGGGGGGGGGUAUUGUUUUUGUCAUUCUGUCUGAAACUUUAACCUUGCUAAUAGCUUUUGAACAGUAAGUGCUAGAGCUUUGAUAUUUCAUAUGAGUAUUCCUUAUGACAAGACCUUUUCGUGGGUAUCAACAUUUUUUACCCUGUCACCUCGACUUUGGAGUUUGACCUUUAACUUUGCCAAUAACUUUUGAACAGUACGAGCUAGAGCUUUGAUAUUUCACACGAGUAUUCCUUGUGCCAAAAUAUUAAAUUGUUUUUUGGUUUUUUCCUCAGUGUUAACUGAUUACAAUGUGAUCAUAUUUUGUUCAAGGAUGCCCAAUUAAGCAAAAUUGUUGUUGGCUCCCUUUGUAGCAUAUUGCGCAUUAAAAACCUAAUUUGUAGUGUUCACUGAAUGAUCACCUUUAUUAGGGAUACCCAUUUAAACAAAUCGUUGCUGGCUCGUUGUAUUUACACGGUGCAUGUAAUCAGCUUAUACUUGCUGUUGUUUUGGUGUUCACUGAUCAUGUUUUGCUUAGGGCCAUCCACGUGAGGCAAUUGGACUGUAGUUCCUUAUUGCUGGUUUACCUGGGGUGCUCACAGAAAGAUGAGCUUUUAGACGAUUCUACAGUUUUACAUUUAUUCUUUGUGUGUGUUUGGAGAUGAUAGUUCCAACCUAUUAUGAGGGUUUAUCUUUUUGUCUAUGACUACCACUGCUUGGGGAGGGUCGGCUCUACUGGUGGCGCAGUCUAUACAGUGGCUGCAUAGUCUAGUGGCGGAGAUUCAGCUUGCCAGUAGAGCUCACCUGGAUUUUUCAUUCAUUUAAUUGAUAUUACAAAUAUAAAUAAACAUUAUCUUAUAUUUUCCCGGGUGUACAUCUGGUCCCAGGGUUCACUUCGGGUUAUGGUUUUUCUCCUUGCACUAGUUAUGAGCAGCCGUGAUCAUUACCGCCAAUAAAUCUAAUAAGCUACAAGUCUGUCUAUUUUGUUUUGUGUGUACCAAUUUGCUUGCCCAUGUGUAUAUCAUAUUUUGUCUUUGAUAAUUGGAUUUAACUCGUCGAAGUUAAAUCGGUUUAUCUAAGCUAAAUAUCAAUAUUAAUCAUUAAUCUGCAUCACCGGGGUAAUUUCCCACUGCCAGCUAUUCUCUUUUCGGGUAUUAGUGAGGUCAUAAAUUACGUCAUGACCACCGUACAAGAUUCCCCAGCAGUUCGCACAUGGAAAUUCACCCACCCAGCCCUCCCCGUAAACUGAAAUGGUACAUUUCUUAAUUUGUUGUCGGUGUUUUGGCUUUGUUUUUUGUAUUUUUCAGGCAAGACCCUAUUAUGGAGAGCCAUUCCUCCGUCACGGCUGCCAUUUCCGAGUGGGCGGAGAUUCAGCUUGCCAGUAGAGCUCACCUGGAUUCUUCAUCAAUUUAAUUGAUAUUACAAAUAUAAAUAAACAUUAUCUUAUAUUUUCCCGGGUGUACAUCUGGUCCCAGGGUUCACUUCGGGUUAUGGUUUUUCUCCUUGCACUAGUUAUGAGCAGCCGUGAUCAUUACCGCCAAUAAAUCUAAUAAGCUACAAGUCUGUCUAUUUUGUUUUGUGUGUACCAAUUUGCUUGCCCAUGUGUAUACCAUAUUUUGUCUUUGAUAAUGGGCUAAUAAUGACACAUUUUUGGAAUAAAUUUUUACCACAAUG